rnacentral:rRNA from 1 species
UACGAAGGGGGCUAGCGUUGCUCGGAAUCACUGGGCGUAAAGCGCACGUAGGCGGUUCUUUAAGUCAGAGGUGAAAUCCCGGAGCUCAACUCCGGAACUGCCUUUGAUACUGAGGACCUUGAGUCCGGGAGAGGUGAGUGGAACUGCGAGUGUAGAGGUGAAAUUCGUAGAUAUUCGCAAGAACACCAGUGGCGAAGGCGGCUCACUGGCCCGGUACUGACGCUGAGGUGCGAAAGCGUGGGGAGCAAACAGG